rnacentral:rRNA from 1 species
UACGGGGGGAGCAAGCGUUGUUCGGAUUUACUGGGCGUAAAGGGCGCGUAGGCGGCCACCGCAAGUCGACUGUGAAAUCUCCGGGCUUAACCCGGAAAGGUCAGCCGAUACUGCGGGGCUAGAGUGCUGAAGGGGCAACUGGAAUUCUCGGUGUAGCGGUGAAAUGCGUAGAUAUCGAGAGGAACACCUGCGGCGAAGGCGGGUUGCUGGGCUGACACUGACGCUGAGGCGCGAAAGCUAGGGGAGCGAACGGG